rnacentral:tRNA from 1 species
GAGGAUAUAGCUCAGUGGUAGAGUGCAUGCUUAGCAUGCAUGAGGUCCUGGGUUCAAUCCCCUGUACCUCCA